rnacentral:rRNA from 1 species
AGCGAACGCUGGCGGCAGGCCUAACACAUGCAAGUCGAACGAACUCUUCGGAGUUAGUGGCGGACGGGUGAGUAACACGUGGGAACGUGCCUUUUGGUUCGGAAUAACUCAGGGAAACUUGUGCUAAUACCGAAUGUGCCCUUCGGGGGAAAGAUUUAUCGCCAUUAGAGCGGCCCGCGUCGGAUUAGCUAGUUGGUGAGGUAAAAGCUCACCAAGGCGACGAUCAGUAGCUGGUCUGAGAGGAUGACCAGCCACACUGGGACUGAGACACGGCCCAGACUCCUACGGGAGGCAGCAGUGGGGAAUCUUGCGCAAUGGGCGAAAGCCUGACGCAGCCAUGCCGCGUGAAUGAUGAAGGUCUUAGGAUUGUAAUAUUCUUUCACCGGGGACGAUAAUGACGGUACCCGGAGAAGAAGCCCCGGCUAACUUCGUGCCAGCAGCCGCCGUAA